rnacentral:SRP_RNA from 1 species
CUGCGCUAGCCGGGGCGGCAGCGGUGUCCUGUACCUGCAAUCCGCUAUAGCAGGGGUGAAUCCCGGCUCGCGGGCGGCGCGUGUAUCGUUUGACCCGGAUCGGAAGGCGAUGAAGAUUCGGUCCUGCGCAACGUCGGACUGUGAACCAUGUCAGGCGGGGAACCGAGCAGCAUUAAGCAGAACCCGGUGUGUGCCGCAGGAACGCCGAGUCUGAGCCGGACGGUGCGGGUAACAGGUAUUGCACGUCGUUCAACGGCCGGUGCGCGG